rnacentral:tRNA from 1 species
GUGUCGGUAGACUCAAUUGGAAGAGCGCCCGGAUGUGGCCCGGGUAGUUGGGGGUUCGAAUCCCCUCCAACACCCCA